rnacentral:rRNA from 1 species
UACGUAGGGUGCGAGCGUUGUCCGGAAUUACUGGGCGUAAAGGGCUUGUAGGUGGUUUGUCGCGUUGUUCGUGAAAUGCCACAACUCAAUUGUGGGCGUGCGGGCGAUACGGGCAGACUGGAGUACUGCAGGGGAGACUGGAAUUCCUGGUGUAGCGGUGGAAUGCGCAGAUAUCAGGAGGAACACCGGUGGCGAAGGCGGGUCCCUGGACAACACCUGACACUGAGGCACGAAAGCUAGGGGAGCAAACAGG